rnacentral:rRNA from 1 species
AGUCAACAUGCCCAGGGGACGUGGAUAACCUCGGGAAACUGAGGAUAAACCGCGAUAGGCCAUGAUUUCUGGAAUGGUUCAUGGCCGAAAUCUAUAUGGCCCCUGGUUUGGACUGCGGCCGAUCAGGCUGUUGGUGAGGUAAUGGCCCACCAAACCUGUAACCGGUACGGGCUCUGAGAGGAGGAGCCCGGAGAUGGGCACUGAGACAAGGGCCCAGGCCCUAUGGGGCGCAGCAGGCGCGAAAUCUCUGCAAUAGGCGAAAGCUUGACAGGGUUACUCUGAGUGGUUCCCGUUAAGGGGAUCUUUUGGCACCUUUAAAAAUGGUGCAGAAUAAGGGGUGGGCAAGUCUGGUGUCAGCCGCCGCGGUAAUACCAGCACCCCGAGUGGUCGGGACGAUUAUUGGGCCUAAAGCAUCCGUAGCCGGUACUGCAAGUCUUCCGUUAAAUCCACCUGCUUAACAGUUGGGCUGCGGGGGAUACUACAGCGCUAGGAGGCGGGAGAGGCAAGCGGUACUCAAUGGGUAGGGGUAAAAUCCGCUGAUCCAUUGAAGACCACCAGUGGCGAAGGCGGCUUGCCAGAACGCGCUCGACGGUGAGGGAUGAAAGCUGGGGGAGCAAACCGGAUUAGAUACCCGGGUAGUCCCAGCUGUAAACGAUGCAGACUCGGUGAUGGGCUGGCCUUGUGCCAGCCCAGUGCCGCAGGGAAGCCGUUAAGUCUGCCGCCUGGGGAGUACGGUCGCAAGACUGAAA